rnacentral:rRNA from 1 species
UACGAAGGGGGCUAGCGUUGCUCGGAAUCACUGGGCGUAAAGCGCACGUAGGCGGCUUUUUAAGUCAGGGGUGAAAUCCUGGAGCUCAACUCCAGAACUGCCUUUGAUACUGAGAAGCUUGAGUCCGGGAGAGGUGAGUGGAACUGCGAGUGUAGAGGUGAAAUUCGUAGAUAUUCGCAAGAACACCAGUGGCGAAGGCGGCUCACUGGCCCGGUACUGACGCUGAGGUGCGAAGC